GCCGCCCAGGGUUUCGAUGCCUUUGUCGCUGGGCCCGGGCUUCCUCCGAGCUGGGCAUUUGGUCAAGCCUGGGGUCCACUGUCCUUUAAGUCCGAGGGGCCGGCAAAUGGGCGACGGGAGGGCGCCCGAGUGGGAGACGCCAGGCUGCCCGGCGAGGGUCGCGCUCGCGUAGCGGAGCCCUGGGCGGAUCUGCGCGCCGCAACCCCCAGCCCAACGUGGUCCCCCCGCGCCCUUACCCCGCGGGGCCGCCUCCCUAGCGGGCCGGGGGAGGGAGAAGCCAUGGAGCCCCCGGGCAGAGGUUCACUGUCUGAAGACUCAAACCUUCCCUCUGCAGGAAACCCGAAAGAAAUUGGCAUGGCUACUUUGCAACUGACCCCUACAUCCCAGGCCUUCCAAUUCCCAAGUCUGAUGUAGUCUCUCAGUUGGAGUGUGGGAUGGAGCUAGAGAAAGUCUCAAAAGCAUCUGGUACAGGUG